CCCAAUAUUAGAUUUAGUCUACGGAUAUACAAUAUGAAUAUUAAAGGCGACAAUAUACCCCCUUGACAAACUCCUUUUGACGAAAGUCUAGGACCAUAAAGGUGUCUAUUAAAUUUAGUAAAUACUUCUCUGUUCAUUAAGAAAUUUUUAAUCCACUUUAUAAUUUUUUCAGGAAUCCCUAUUUGUAAUAACUCAAGGCAUAGAAUAUCUAUGUUUACACUAUUAAAAGCACCUGCGAUGUCAAAGAAUACACCGACCAAGUUUUCAUUUGCGGAUAUAGAGUUUUGUAUAUCCAGCUGUAACUGGCAAGCGCUUUCUCUAGCAGAACGAUUUCUACGAAAACCAAAUUGAUUGGAAGGAAUAUGAUAACUAGUACCAAGAGGACAAUCAUGUACAGACCAGUCACAGUUGAGAGCCAGUGAUGAAGAUACCAAUGAUAAAUCCAAAGCAUUGGGUCGCCAUGUUGGAGAACCGAUAGUCGUUGCUUGCCCAUCAUUAAGGAGAACCAAAUUAUUAUCCUCAAUAACCUCUAGAAUAUUUCGACCACGCGGGCUGUCGGAACCACAGCCCCAACAAGUGUGAUGAGCGUUAAAAUCGCCCGCAAAUAUGAAAGGACUAGGAAUAGACUUAACCAAUGUAUCAAAAUUGUUUUUGCUGAAGACUGGGUUAGAGUUUAAAGGACUAUAGAAACUAACUAUACAUAUAUCUUUAUUAUUAACUGUUAUUUUCACACAUACAUUUUGUAAGGAAUUAUCGAAAUAGGUGUUAAUUCUAGAAUAAAUAAUGCUUUUAUGUAUUAUAAUUGCAACACCAUUGUGUUUGUUACCACAAUCAUUCCUUUCAACAUUGUAAUUUUUAAUUUUAAAAUUUUGUUCAGGUUUUAACCAAGUUUCACUGAUUAUAGCAAUAUGAAUAUUGUGUGUAUAAAGAAAAUUAAUAAAUAUAUGUUUGUUACUA